UACGAAGGUGGCAAGCGUUGUUCGGAUUCACUGGGCGUACAGGGUGUGUAGGCGGUUUGGUAAGCCUUCUGUUAAAGCUUCGGGCCCAACCCGGAAAGCGCAGAGGGUACUGCCAGGCUAGAGGGCGGGAGAGGAGCGCGGGAAUUCCCGGUGUAGCGGUGAAAUGCGCAGAUAUCAGGAGGAACACCAAUAGCGAAGGCAGCUCGCUUGGGGACGGU
rnacentral:rRNA from 1 species